AUGCAGUCGAACGGUAGCACAGAGAGCUUGCUCUCGGGUGACGAGUGGCGGACGGGUGAGUAAUGUCUGGGAAACUGCCUGAUGGAGGGGGAUAACUACUGGAAACGGUAGCUAAUACCGCAUAACGUCGCAAGACCAAAGAGGGGGACCUUCGGGCCUCUUGCCAUCAGAUGUGCCCAGAUGGGAUUAGCUAGUAGGUGGGGUAAUGGCUCACCUAGGCGACGAUCCCUAGCUGGUCUGAGAGGAUGACCAGCCACACUGGAACUGAGACACGGUCCAGACUCCUACGGGAGGCAGCAGUGGGGAAUAUUGCACAAUGGGCGCAAGCCUGAUGCAGCCAUGCCGCGUGUAUGAAGAAAGCCUUCGGGUUGUAAAGUACUUUCAGCGAGGAGGAAGGCAUCAAGGUUAAUAACCUUGGUGAUUGACGUUACUCGCAGAAGAAGCACCGGCUAACUCCGUGCCAGCAGCCGCGGUAAUACGGAGGGUGCAAGCGUUAAUCGGAAUUACUGGGCGUAAAGCGCACGCAGGCGGUCUGUCAAGUCGGAUGUGAAACCCCCGGGCUCAACCUGGGAACUGCAUUCGAAACUGGCAGGCUAGAGUCUUGUAGA
rnacentral:rRNA from 1 species